rnacentral:rRNA from 1 species
CCUACGGGAGGCAGCAGUGAGGAAUAUUGGUCCAUGGUCGGGAGACUGAACCAGCCAAGCCGCGUGAGGGAUGAAGGUACAGAGUAUCGUAAACCUCUUUUGUCAGGGAACAAAGGCGGUGACGUGUCCCCGGAUGAGUGUACCUGACGAAAAAGCAUCGGCUAACUCCGUGCCAGCAGCCGCGGUAAUACGGAGGAUGCGAGCGUUAUCCGGAUUUAUUGGGUUUAAGGGGUGCGCAGGCGGUCUGUUAAGUCAGCGGUAAAAGGCCGGGGCUCAACCCCGGCCCGCCGUUGAAACUGGCAGGCUUGAGUUGGAGAGAAGUAUGCGGAAUGCGGGGUGUAGCGGUGAAAUGCAUAGAUAUCGCGCAGAACUCCGAUUGCGAAGGCAGCAUGCCGGCUCCACACUGACGCUGAGGCACGAAAGCGUGGGUAUCGAACAGGAUUAGAUACCCGAGUAGUC